rnacentral:rRNA from 1 species
UACGGAGGGUGCAAGCGUUAAUCGGAAUUACUGGGCGUAAAGCGCGCGUAGGCGGCUGUGUAAGUCGAUUGUGAAAUCCCCGGGCUCAACCUGGGAAUUGCAGUCGAGACUGCUCGGCUAGAGUGUGGGAGAGGGUGGUGGAAUUCCCGGUGUAGCGGUGAAAUGCGUAGAUAUCGGGAGGAACAGCAAUGGAGAAGGCGACCACCGGGAUCUACACUGACGCUGAGGUGCGAAAGCGUGGGUAGCAAACAGG